rnacentral:rRNA from 1 species
CAGUCGCCACGGUAAUACGUAGGUGGCAAGCGUUGUCCGGAAUUAUUGGGCGUAAAGGGCUCGCAGGCGGUUUCUUAAGUCUGAUGUGAAAGCCCCCGGCUCAACCGGGGAGGGUCAUUGGAAACUGGGAAACUUGAGUGCAGAAGAGGAGAGUGGAAUUCCACGUGUAGCGGGGAAAUGCGUAGAUAUCAAGAGGAACACCUGAGGCGAAGGCGGGUUGCUGGGCCGACACUGACGCUGAUGCGCGAAAGCCAGGGGAGCAAACGGGAUUAGAUACCCCCGUAGUCCCUGUCUCUUAUAU